rnacentral:rRNA from 1 species
CCUACGGGGGGCAGCAGUGGGGAAUAUUGGACAAUGGGGGAAACCCUGAUCCAGCAAUGCCGCGUGUGUGAAGAAGGCCUGCGGGUUGUAAAGCACUUUCGGUUGGGAAGAAAAGUUUGGCGCCAAUACCGCCGAACCUUGACGUUACUGACAGAAGAAGCACCGGCUAACUCUGUGCCAGCAGCCGCGGUAAUACAGAGGGUGCAAGCGUUAAUCGGAGUCACUGGGGGUAAUCCUUGCGGUCGUGGGCGAAAUCCCCGGGCUUAACCUGGGAACUGCAUUCGAUACGACAUGGCUAGAGUAUGGUAGAGGGAAGUGGAAGUUCCGGUGUAGCGGUGAAAUGCGUAGAUAUCGGAAGGAACACCAAUGGCGAAGGCAGCUUCCUGGACUAAUACUGACACUGAGGCACGAAAGCGUGGGUAGCAAACAGGAUUAGAUACCCCAGUAGUC